GACGAACGCUGGCGGCGUGCCUAAUACAUGCAAGUUGAGCGCUGAAGGUUGGUACUUGUACCAACUGGAUGAGCAGCGAACGGGUGAGUAACGCGUGGGGAAUCUGCCUUUGAGCGGGGGACAACAUUUGGAAACGAAUGCUAAUACCGCAUAAAAACUUUAAACACAAGUUUUAAGUUUGAAAGAUGCAAUUGCAUCACUCAAAGAUGAUCCCGCGUUGUAUUAGCUAGUUGGUGAGGUAAAGGCUCACCAAGGCGAUGAUACAUAGCCGACCUGAGAGGGUGAUCGGCCACAUUGGGACUGAGACACGGCCCAAACUCCUACGGGAGGCAGCAGUAGGGAAUCUUCGGCAAUGGACGAAAGUCUGACCGAGCAACGCCGCGUGAGUGAAGAAGGUUUUCGGAUCGUAAAACUCUGUUGGUAGAGAAGAACGUUGGUGAGAGUGGAAAGCUCAUCAGUGACGGUAACUACCCAGAAAGGGACGGCUAACUACGUG
rnacentral:rRNA from 1 species